GAGGAGGGUUUAAAAAUGUAUGAAAUUUCAGAAUAGACCGUGUGAUAAUCAAUUGGUUCAAAAACUUGAAAAAGUUAUGGAUUCAAAUAAUGGUUUGGUUAUAGAUAAAUUUAAAGUGGAUUUAAAUUUGCUAAGACGGAAUGGACCGCAUGAUCACUAACCGGCUCGAAACCAUAAUUACAUGAAUUAAAAACGCGUUUAGAAAACAGUGAUUGCCCAAUUUAAAAAAAAAAAAACAAACCCGACCAUGGUGUAUUGACUAGAUUUUCGUUAUUUUCAGUAUAGUU
rnacentral:lncRNA from 1 species